UUACACCUUAACCCUAAAUACCGGAUAAUAUAAACCACAGUUCAAAAUUCAAAGAAUCUGGCGGUAUCUUAAAUUAACAGGGGAACCUGUCACUUAAUUCGAUAAUCCACGCUCACUCAUCCAGUUUUUGUAUCUCAGCCUGUGUACUGCUGUCGCCAGUAAGCCUCUAAAAGCAAGCCUACAACAAACCUCAAUAAAACGUCAAGUCAAAGUGCAGCCAAUAAAUUGGAGUAGAUGGGUUACAACCUCAAUUCAAAGAAUGAAUUACCCCUUCAAACAAGGGCAUGAAACUGGACUUGUAAGUAAUAAAACGUAAAGAGAACUAUUAUAAAUUAAAUCCUAAGAUAUGUACACAUCGCCCGUCACUCUCGUCAAAAGACU
rnacentral:rRNA from 1 species